rnacentral:lncRNA from 13 species
UGUUGGAGGAAGGACCUUGUGGGAGGUGAUUGGAUCAUGGAGGGGGGUGGUUCCCCCAUGCUGUUCUUUUGAUAAUGAGUUCUCACAAGAUCUGAUGGUUUUAUAAGGGGCUCUUCCCCCUUCACUCUGCACUUCUCUCUCCAGAAGCCUUGUGAAGAAGGACAUGUUUGCUUCCCCUCCAUCAUGAUUUCCAAGUUUCCUGAGGCCUCCCCAGCCACGUGGAACGAUAUACCAAUGGACUGGGGACUCAAGAUGGCGCUGUGAGAACAACCCAGGAUUGGAGCCCGCGUUGAAUUCGCAAACGGUGAGUCAGUGCUGCAUUUCCAGACUGAUCUUUGUUGCCCACAGAACGGGGAAACUCCCAAGUAUAAAAAGACACGGGACGCCAGGCAGUAGGUCGGCCUGGCGAAGCCGGCAGCCGGGGCGGCGGAGGCCGGCCCUACCCAGCAAUCCCCACAGGGCGCGCUUGUCCGGCUGCCUUGUUGAACCGGCAACCUGAGACUUGAGAGGGCUGGACUUGAGACUGAACGAGACUUGCACAGUAGCCCAGCCCAGGGGAUUGCAGGGACAGAUCGCUUGGGAUACCCAGUGGGACGAACAAAACCGCGAUUUCAAACUAUCCCGGGCAGA